AUGCAGCAUGGAAAGGGAACAGUGGGCACAGGGUGGCGGAAGCUCCAGCGAUGGGGAUCACACCUCCCUCCUCUGUUUCCUCAGGUGCAGGUGGAGGCCAGGAAAACCUGCAGCGCAAAGCGGCUGCCCGCUGUUGUCCGCCGCCCUCCAGCAUCCAGCGGCGGCAUGCCGGCUGUGUCCCACACCCUGCCCAAGGCAGGGGCUGGCUGUCUCUUCAACAGCCUGCAGCGGCGGGAGCAGGCCAGGGCAGAGCAGGCGCAGCUGCUGACUCUCCGGGGCAUCAUGGGUGACAGCUCCCUGCAGCCCACGCCUGAGAAAUGCUGUGGCCCCAGCAACACCUGGCCUCACAAGUGUGGUUGGAGGAAGGGGGGGUCAGGGGCAGCUGCUGCUGGACCUCAGCUUGGGGAGCUGCUCCUCUAUGUCAGGAACCCGCUGGUGCAGGACAUCGAUGCCGAGUGCGGGGCAGCCCCUCAGAAUCCCUGCCUCCCUAACCCAAAAAUCACAUGCCCCCGUGUUUCCCUGGGCUCUGUGCUCAGCCUGGAGCUGCCACGGGAUGCAGUGGUCUUGGGGUGCCACCAAGGGGCUGCGGCACGCCAGCAGGAGGCAGAGGGGCAGGAGCAGAGGCAGGAUGAAGGGGUGAGGCCUUGGAAGCCCACAGGCACACAUGGAGUUAGAUGGCAGGAAGAUGGGAACGAUCCCUGGGGGCCCAGCAAGAGGCCGGGGAUGUCACCCAAGAGCAAGCAAGAAACAUGGUUCAAGGAGGUGAGCUUCAACCCAAGCUACAGCCAACAAAGAGCACACUGUGCUGGGAAGGAGCACUGGAACCUGCAACACCCCAGCAGCACCAGUAAAGACCUUCUGGACUUGAGGUCGAGCCAGCCAUCCCAUGUUGGCAUGGGGGAUGGCCAGGAUGACAGCCCCACUGCCACUGGCAGGGCCAGGCAUCUCAGAGCUGCUUGGCUAGAGCUUGGAUCAUCCCCUGCCAGCACCCCAGGCAGGGCUGGAGCCAUCCCCAGCCCUGCCUGCACACAGCAGCCAGACAGCAGCAACCAGCCCAGAGGGUCCCCAGCUUCCCCUGCCGCCCCCAGCCAGCUCUCUGUCUUUGAGUGGGCACUGGGGUCUCCACAUCCCCAGAGCCCUGCACGGGUAACUGAGGAAGUUUGCCACCCUGCCCACAGGCAGUUUGAGGAAGAGGAGGAGGAGCUGCAAGCCAUCUGGGAUGGAGCACACGAACAACAGGCACAGAGCUCACCAGGAGACAGCUGUGCCAGCCACCGGACAGGCAGCAGGGCAGGCAGCUUGCACAGCCCCAGUGCCACUACUGGCGGGCCCCUCAUCCUGUCAUCAGCCAACAAUGUGCUAGUAGCCAAAUUCACCCUUCCCACCGCUGCCCAGCUGCUCCACAGCCCGUCAGGAGAGAAGAGCCCCAGGGUGGUGCACAGUGGCAGUGGCAGUCCCAAUGGGCUCAGGGUUUCCCCCUACUUGGAGGAGCUGGUGUCGGUAGCCCCCUUGGAUGCCUCCAGCACCUGGGAUCAGCGGAGGCAUCAGCAAGAGGAGAGAGAGAGCAGCAAGGUCCUGCCUGCUAAAAUGGAAUUUCAGAUGAUGGAGGGGACGCUGGAAAGGAAGCACGUAUUGCAGGCAGGAGGGAGAAAGGUACAGACAUGGCUGUGGGGCUCCUUUUGGGAUAGGGGUGCUGGGACAUGA
ensembl:lncRNA